CUCUCUCCCUCUUGGUAAGUCUCUCUCCCGAUCUGUGAACAAUGAAUGUAAAUGUGAUAGAUCUUGUGAUUUGGUGAACUGGGUCUCUCUGUGCUUAGAUAGAUCUAGUGAUUUGCCGAAUGGGAGUUUUAGGGUUUUGUUUGGGGAUUUCUCUUUUUCUAUCUUAGUGGGUUUUUUCUUUUUCUUUUUUUCGUUUGGUUCUUGUUCUUUAUUGCUUUUUUUCCUUACAAUCUAAACAAAUCUCAAUAGAUUUGAAGAGAUUUUGUUUAGAUCUGAGUCAUUUUGGUUUUUGUUUCCUUACAAUCUAAACAAAAUCAAAGCAGUGUAUGAAAUGCUCGUUGGAUAUGAUUUAGGAUUUUUCUCUGUAGGGUCCUUUGCGGGUUUAGGUUUUCUGUCAUUAUACUUGAUUAAAGUAUUUGAUCGCAGAGGGCAUGUGGCAAAACUAUGCAUUGUUUUCCUUCCGCUGCUUGUUGCAUCCCUCAUUGGCAUCUCAUGGGUUAAUGACUAUUGGCACCAUUGACAAGAUGUAUUUGCUGGAGGUGUUCUAGGUGUGUUUUUAUAUCAUCACUUAGAAAAUGAAAUUUAAAUUUUCAAUAUAAGAAGGCAGGGCCUGCGAUGCAGAGGUGCUAUAAGGAAUGAACAUUCUUACCUGCCAUAAUUUGGCUUCAACACCUUCAACAGAUGCAGCCCCUUUCUUUAUCUCUUCUGCUAGUUUCUCUACAUGUCCAUACAUGGAAUAGUACCUGUAGCAGCAAAAAAAUAAAAUAAAAAAUAGAACAGAUAGAUUAUGAGAGUUGUAUGAUAAUCAGUUCCUACAAUAGCAAACUGGAGAAUAGAGUUUUACCAUGACAUCUGAUGAAAAAUACUAACUUGCUUUUAGUUCAAGGGAAAAAUUGAGAGUACAAAUAAUAAAAAGAACCGUGAUUACUUGCAAGUCUUUGGGAAAAAAAACUUGCUCAGAUUUUGACCUCUAAUGGAUUGCUGAGUUGGAAGUAUUUAUCCAAAACAAAUUUCUUCAACUUCUCAGUUUUGCAUGUAUGUGCAUGGGUGUAGACUAUUCCCAGGUUCCUUCUCAAGUUUUGAGCAGAUAAAAGGCCAAUGGCAAAUCUUAGAAGCCCACCACACAGUGGAACAGUUUGGUUGGCUGCGAAGAAUAUACUAGGAAUUCAAUGUGGCGGUUGUCUCCAGUUUGGGUGGCUACAGACUUGAAGUUGUUAUUUUGGUGUGAUUAAACCACUGAUGGAGGACUAUGUUAUUUAUAUGUAACUCUUAUCUUGUAAUUUUUAUAUUUUGUAAUGUAAUGUAUAUAAUACAAAAUAAUGAAAUA